UGCAAGUCGUACGGGGCUCUUCGGAGUUCAGUGGCGAACGGGUGCGUAACACGUGAGUGACCUGCCCUUGUGCGGGGGAUAACCCGGGGAAACCCGGGCUAAUACCGCAUGUUCUCUUUGGGCUUCCGGGCCUGGGGAGGAAAAGUGCUGUAAGGCACUGCGCAGGGAGGGGCUCGCGGCGUAUCAGGUAGUUGGUAGGGUAACGGCCUACCAAGCCGAUGACGCGUAGGGGGUCUGAGAGGAUGGCCCCCCACAUUGGGACUGAGAUACGGCCCAGACUCCUACGGGAGGCAGCAGUGGGGAAUCUUGCGCAAUGGCCGAAAGGCUGACGCAGCGACGCCGCGUGCGGGAGGACGCUUUUCGGAGUGUAAACCGCUGUCGGAUGGGACGAAGGUCCGGGGGAGGAAAUGCUCACGGGAUGACGGUACCACCAGAGGAAGCACCGGCUAACUUCGUGCCAGCAGCCGCGGUAAUACGAAGGGUGCAAGCGUUGUUCGGGAUUAUUGGGCGUAAAGCGCACGUAGGCGGUUGGGUAAGUCUGUCUGUGAAAGCCCGGGGCUCAACCCCGGGACUGCAGGGGAUACUGCUCGACUGGAGACAAGCAGAGGUUGGUAGAAUUCCGGGUGUAGCGGUGGAAUGCGUAGAGAUCCGGAGGAAUACCAGAGGCGAAGGCGGCCAACUGGGCUUGUUCUGACGCUGAGGUGCGAAAGCGUGGGGAGCGAACAGGAUUAGAUACCCUGGUAGUCCACGCCGUAAACGAUGGGCACUAGAUGCCGGUGGGAACGACCCCUUCGGUGUCGCAGCUAACGCACUAAGUGCCCCGCCUGGGGAGUACGGCCGCAAGGCUGAAACUCAAAGGAAUUGACGGGGGCCCGCACAAGCGGUGGAGCAUGUGGUUUAAUUCGAAGCAACGCGAAGAACCUUACCUGGACU
rnacentral:rRNA from 1 species